rnacentral:rRNA from 1 species
UACGGGGGGGGCAAGCGUUGUUCGGAAUUACUGGGCGUAAAGGGCUCGUAGGCGGCCAACUAAGUCGGAUGUGAAAUCCCCAGGCUCAACCUGGGAACUGCAUCCGAUACUGGAUGGCUUGAAUUCGGGAGAGGGAUGCAGAAUUCCAGGUGUAGCGGUGAAAUGCGUAGAUAUCUGGAGGAACACCGGUGGCGAAGGCGGCAUCCUGGACCAAUACUGACGCUGAGGAGCGAAAGCCAGGGGAGCAAACGGG